rnacentral:rRNA from 1 species
AUGCCUUCGAUGUUCUGGGCAGAGGCACUCCACACGGCCACAUAUUUACUCAAUAUUCGUUCAUCUAAAGUUAACCCACAAACUACUCCUUACUUCUCUUUAUUUCUCUCUCAUCCAAAUUACUCCGACGUUCGCGUCUUCGAUUGUCUUUGUUUCCCAAACUCCUACUCCACUUCUCCUAACAAACUUUCCACACGCUCUAUCCCGUGUGUCCAUCUAGGUUUUUGUGACGAGCACAAGGGUUAUCAUUGUCUAGAUCUUGUUAGUGGUCGUGUUCAUGUGUCUCGUCAUAUAACAUUUGCUGAAAACAUUUUUACCUUUUCCGAGCAUCAACAAUUAGAUCCCAACUCAUCCACGCCGUCCACUAGUCCCUCUCCUCGGAAUCAUCUUCCCUUCUUUCACCCGCUGACCUAUCCAGCGAAACCAGCCGCAGUAGCGGAUCCUGCCCCCGCCACUUCUGUCACCACCUCUGUCCUGGCAGAGGAAAACACGUUACACUCUGACGCGGCAGACCUCCUGCCGCCGCAGUCUUCACCGCCAUCUCCCGCGUCCGCUUCCUCCGUUGUGUCGGACGCGUUCACCAUAUCUUCCCCCACCCCUCCUGCUCAUGCUAUUCCCGUUUCAGCUCCUACUAACGAUCAUACCAUGUGCACACGUGCCAAGUCCGGGUUUCGUUUACCUGCAAAAGAUCGUCUUAAUCUUCAUGCAUCUUUAUCUCCUUCCUCUCUACCCAAAUCUUACAAAUCAGCUCUCCUAGAUCUUGAUUGGGCCGUAGCUAUGAAAGAUGGAUAUGAUGCCCUCCUGCAGAAUAACACGUGGCAGUUAGUUCCUCAUCCUUCCAAUACAAAUAUCGUUUCGGGAAAAUGGGUUUUUCGCCAUAAAUUUAAUUCUGAUGGGAGUCUUGCACGUUAUAAGGCUCUAUGGGUGUGCCGUGAUCACUCUCAGCAACACGGUAUCGAUUAUGAUGUGACUUUCUCUCCAGUUGUCAAGCCCAACACUAUUCGCAGUCCUUAG